AUGAACGACAGUUAGCUGAUGACUAGUAAAAUGAGCAUGAAAACUGGAAUAUUUUAUAUUUAUUUAAAUAACAUAAAUACAUAAUUAUAAAAGCGUAUAUCGUAGGAGCAACAUUUUAGCUUCCGUCAAUGGGCGGCCAUGAAAGGUAGACCGGAACAGCUUUUUCCGUCACUCGAGCAUUGAGUAUGGCGGUUCAAGUUGGACUAACGCCAUUGCACUGCGAUUGUGUAAUUGCUUGAUUACUAAAUUGGGAAGUAGCAAAUUUCUUAUUAUGUUUACUUAUAUUGUUUAUUUAUUGUAGAAGCUUGAUGCGUUGUGUUAUAGAUAGCUCGAGCUUUUUGUGUAGAAGUUGGAUGCUGCACUCCUGUUUAUACACAUGUAUGUACCAUAUAUGUAUGAGUCAUCCUGCGGAUAUUUCAUACAUACAUACAAACAUAUUAAUGUAUAUGUUUGGUUACAAGUGGAUUCUGAACGAUCAGUUUUUGUGACAACUACAUACUUGUACUUAUGUAUGUACAUAUACAUAUGCUACAGAACUCCGAUAUCGGUUCCGACAAAUGAGCAGCUACUUGGGGAGGAAAGGACUUGCAUACAAUAUCAGAUCGAUAUCUCAAUAACUGAGAGACUAGAACAUGGUUAAUGGACUCAGCUCGUCGUUUGAGGACGUUCCGGCGAAAUAUUAAAGAUUUUGGGAUAAAAAUAUUUAUACGAAAUAUCCUCACCGAGAAAAACCGAGGAAGUAGUACAGCGAUUUCCAAACACUAGAUUUUAUUUUUCUUGGAAGAUGGGUAGAACUAACUCUACAAAUUUUUUGUUUUGGAGUUAAAAGCUUUAUAUACAUACAUACAUACAUACAUACAUACUAUACAAAAUGGAUAUUUGUGAUCCAGAUUAUUAAAUCGAAAUAUUUAAAAGCAAGGUUUACCCUGCGUCUAUAGCCCCCUCAUCUUUUCAGAGUAUCGCCGAACCUCAGGUCUCUAUUAUUGUAUUUUUGAGUGCUCCUAUUUCGGAGUUAUGAAUUCGAGCACAACAAAAUCAGGAAAUAGAGGCAAACAAAUACAAAUGUUCUCUCCAACUCUCGGAAUAAAAACAAAAAAAAAUAUU